UUUACCUGUGUGACUGCGUACCUUUUGUAUAAUGGGUCAGCGACUUAUAUUCUGUAGCAAGGUUAACCGAAUAGGGGAGCCGGAGGGAAACCGAGUCUUAAUUGGGCGUUAAGUUGCAGGGUAUAGACCCGAAACCCGGUGAUCUAGCCAUGGGCAGGUUGAAGGUUGGGUAACACUAACUGGAGGACCGAACCGACUAAUGUUGAAAAAUUAGCGGAUGACCUGUGGCUGGGGGUGAAAGGCCAAUCAAACCGGGAGAUAGCUGGUUCUCCCCGAAAGCUAUUUAGGUAGCGCCUCGUGAAUUCAUCUCCGGGGGUAGAGCACUGUUUCGGCUAGGGGGCCAUCCCGGCUUACCAACCCGAUGCAAACUGCGAAUACCGGAGAAUGUUAUCACGGGAGACACACGGCGGGUGCUAACGUCCGUCGUGAAGAGGGAAACAACCCAGACCGCCAGCUAAGGUCCCAAAGUCAUGGUUAAGUGGGAAACGAUGUGGGAAGGCCCAGACAGCCAGGAUGUUGGCUUAGAAGCAGCCAUCAUUUAAAGAAAGCGUAAUAGCUCACUGGUCGAGUCGGCCUGCGCGGAAGAUGUAACGGGGCUAAACCAUGCACCGAAGCUGCGGCAGCGAACGUAUCACCCAAGACAACUUUACGGAGUUGACGAUUGACGGAGCGAAGCGACGUCAAAGCGUUCAUUAAAGUCGAGUUGGCUUAGGGAUACGUUCGUUGGGUAGGGGAGCGUUCUGUAAGCCUGUGAAGGUGUGUCGUGAGGC
rnacentral:rRNA from 1 species